rnacentral:sRNA from 1 species
GAGUAAAGCCGCCGCCCGGGAGAAGACUGAAGGAGCAGUUGCCGCCGUUGGCGGCGGCCCGAGCAGUUUUCGCUGCUGCUACGGCUGUUGCCAUGAGGCGAGGCUAGGGAGGACCUCACUUCCCCGGAGUGUAAUAAUGUUAACUGAGUUAUAUUGGGAGCUAGUUUCAAGAUGAAAUAUUAAUUCUAAGCCAGUCUAUCCAUAUGGGGAUGGGGAAGCCUUGGCAUUGUCCUUUUUCUGAUAACCUUUGGACCCUUUGUAAUAUUUUAUUUGACAUUUUAUAUCCUCUGCUUUGUGGGUGGGGGUUUAGUGGUUACUCUCCUGUUUGGAAAAACAAACUCAGAGAAGUACCUAGAACAGUGUGAACACUCAUUUCUUCCUCCGACAUCAACUGGGGUUCCUAAGUGCUUAGAAGAAAUGAAACGGGAAGCUAGGACUAUUAAGAUUGAUAGAAGAUUGACGGGCGCCAAUAUAAUUGAUGAACCUCUCCAGCAAGUUAUCCAGUUUUCCUUGAGGGAUUAUGUCCAGUAUUGGUAUUAUACACUAAGUGAUGAUGAAUCUUUUCUUCUUGAAAUUAGGCAGACUCUUCAAAAUGCACUCAUUCAGUUUGCUACUAGGUCAAAAGAAAUAGACUGGCAACCUUAUUUUACUACACGCAUUGUAGAUGAUUUUGGCACACACUUACGAGUAUUCAGAAAGGCUCAACAGAAAAUAACAGAGAAAGAUGAUCAAGUAAAAGGUACAGCAGAAGAUCUUGUAGAUACCUUCUUUGAAGUUGAAGUUGAAAUGGAGAAGGAGAUUUGCCGUGAUCUAGUGUGCACUUCCCCCAAAGAUGAAGAAGGAUUCCUAAGGGAUUUGUGUGAGGUCUUACUAUAUUUAUUGCUACCUCCUGGAGAUUUCCAGAACAAGAUCAUGCGAUACUUUGUCAGGGAAAUCCUUGCACGAGGAAUUCUUCUUCCAUUAAUAAAUCAACUCAGUGAUCCUGAUUAUAUUAAUCAGUAUGUCAUAUGGAUGGUAGGUGCCUUUUAAAAUUACAACUCUGUUUUAGAAAUAAUUUUUUAAAUGUAAAAAUACAGUUGGGAGAUAGGGUGUUUAAGCAGUAAUUUAUUAAAGAAAUUAAGUAAAGUGUUUCUGAAGU